rnacentral:rRNA from 1 species
UGGGGAAUCUUGCACAAUGGGGGCAACCCUGAUGCAGCGACGCCGCGUGAGCGAUGAAGCCCUUCGGGGCGUAAAGCUCUUUCGACCGGAACGAUAAUGACGGUACCGGGAGAAGAAGCUGCGGCUAACUACGUGCCAGCAGCCGCGGUAAUACGUAGGCAGCAAGCGUUGUUCGGAGUUACUGGGCGUAAAGAGUGCGUAGGCGGUUUUCUAAGUUCGGUGUGAAAUCUCCCGGCUUAACUGGGAGGGUGCGCCGAAGACUGGGAAGCUGGAGUGUGGGAAAGGCAGGCGGAAUUCCUGGUGUAGCGGUGAAAUGCGUAGAUAUCAGGAGGAACACCUGCGGUGUAGACGGCUUGCUAGACCAUAACUGACGCUGAGGCACGAAAGCGUGGGUAGCAAACA